UACGUAGGGACCGAGCGUUGUCCGGAAUUAUUGGGUGUAAAGGGUGCGUAGACGGAAAUUUAAGUUGGUUGUGAAAUCCCCGGGCUCAACUUGGGAACUGCAACCAAAACUGAAUAUCUUGAGUGUAGGAGAGGAAAGUGGAAUUCCUAGUGUAGCGGUGAAAUGCGUAGAGAUUAGGAGGAACACCAGUGGCGAAGGCGACUUUCUGGACUAUAACUGACGUUGAGGCACGAAAGUGUGGGGAGCAAAC
rnacentral:rRNA from 1 species